UUUCUCCUACGGGGGGCAGCAGUGGGGAAUAUUGCACAAUGGGGGGAACCCUGAUGCAGCAACGCCGCGUGAGUGAAGAAGUAUUUCGGUAUGUAAAGCUCUAUCAGCAGGGAAGAAGAUGACGGUACCUGAGUAAGAAGCCCCGGCUAACUACGUGCCAGCAGCCGCGGUAAUACGUAGGGGGCAAGCGUUAUCCGGAUUUACUGGGUGUAAAGGGAGCGUAGACGGCGAGGCAAGUCUGGAGUGAAAGCCCGGGGCUCAACCCCGGGACUGCUUUGGAAACUGCCUGGCUGGAGUGCUGGAGA
rnacentral:rRNA from 1 species